GCAUGAUGCCUUUGUGACAUCUAGGGAGGAUGCUAGUGAAGAUUAUUGUUACUGAAAUUAUUCCCCGGUAUUGCUGCCCUCUGCAGAUUGGCUCUGAUAAUGGCCCGGUUUUUGCAAGUGGGGUUGCCCAGGAACUUGCUAAAUUCUUGCAAGUUACCUGGCAGUUUCAUAUACCCUAUCAUCCACAGAAUACAGGGGUAGUUGAAAGGAUGAAUAGGACUAUUAAGGAAAAGCCCAGAAUUUACCCAGGAACAUGGGUAAAUUGGACUAGAUAUCUACCAGCUAUUUUAGCUGAGAUAAGAAUGAAUCCCCACAAGGUGACUAAAUUAUCUCCAUUUGAGAUUUUGAUGGGAUGACCUUUUCCCACACCCUGGGCCAGGGAACCGCUUGUUAUAAUGUCUGGGGAUUUACAGCUUAUACAAGAACAAUAUGUACAGGAAUUGUUGAUAAAACCGAAUGGUAUGUAUGACAAUGUUUCUUCGCAGUUUUCCCUUACCUUCACAGGAACCUACUCAUUCAUACCAGCCCGGUGACAAGGUGUAUAUCCGUCAGUUGAACAGGACCAAGAAAGGAGGAUACCCUUUUGGACCACCUGCUACUGUGAUUGCUGUACCCAGAACCGCUGUCCACAGAUU